UUAAGUUCAGCGGGUAGUCCUACCUGAUUUGAGAUCAGAAGUUGAAAAGUUUUAUCUCUUGCGAGAUGACUGUAAGCGUGAACACACAAAUACUUCACAGCCACAACGUAGACAAUUAUCACGCUGAAGGCGAUCCGUAAGAUUCACGCUAAUACAUUUCAGAGGAGCUGAUUCCGAGUUAACAGGAACCAGCACAAGCC
rnacentral:misc_RNA from 1 species